CCCGGCUGCCUUCCACCUUGCUCCUCUGUGACUGAGGGUUUCCUGCUCUCUCCAGGCCUCUGUUUUCUCCUCUACAAAACGGAGGUGAGCCUCGACUUCGCAGACCCCAGUGCGCAGGGCCUGGCACGUAGACGCCGGCUCCGUCCUCACCGAGGGCGGCCCACGGCAUGCCCCGCACAGGUGGAGACGAUACCGGUGUAGGCACGCCGCAGCCCUGGAGCGUGUCCUCCCCGGGGAGGUGGCUGGCUGGGCACUGAGCUCAGGCGGGGCCCUCGGACACACCUGCAGCCACUCCGCUCUGCAUGCCCCGUGCCAGGUGCUGCCCCUCCCUGUGCUUGGUCUCCUGAACCACGGAUGACCCGACUGGCCGAGGUGGAAGUGGAGGUGAGGAGGCUGAGUCCCCUGGGAGCCUGAGGCUUUGAUGGCCCUCCUUCACCCACAGGACCAGCAGACCCCAGAGGCUGGAUGGAGGCUGGAAACUUUCUGCCUGACCUGGGACGGCAGGGACCACUUGUCUCUGCUCACUCUGAGCCCUCCGAGGUGCCAGUGAGUGAAGAGAGCUCUGCGCGGCGGCGUCCUAGCUUAGAGGUCGGAACGUUUCCCAGACGGGGAAGAGGACGUCACAGGGAGAGCCGUGAUCUCAUCCGGCCGCCGCGUUCUGGAAGAGACGAGGGGACAGCGCACGCGAGCAGAGGAGGAGAGGCGGCGCGGGGAAGGGAGGCGGCGAGACGCGCAGCGCCCGCGCCCGGGAGACCCAGGAGGAGCCCGCAGGUAUUGUUGGCGGCGAAGCUUUGUAUCUUGGUGGGUGGGGGGACGAUCCGGGUGCGAGGGCUCCUGAGGCUGCCGGCCGGGGUCUCCGCCCGCCCCCGGCACCCCUCCUACCGCGCCGCAGUCUUGGCUGGAGUUGCAGACCUGCCUGUUUGGGGUUUUCCACACCCGUUGUGGGAAUCGGUCUCAGAAGGAAUUUCUUUCUUUUUUUUUUUUGGCCGCAGUUUGGUUGUACCGGGGAUUUCCCCCUCCCCUUCUCUCCACCACACACUGGUGAGAGGUCUUGGCGACCGUGGCACUGGCCGAAGGCUGAGGGCUGAGAUGGCGGGGCUGGUGGCCGCGGACCGGAGGGAGGGACGCGGGGAGGAAGGAGUUUUGCUCAAGUUCUCAGUGUGCGCCGCGGAGCUGGUCAGGCGGGGAGGGUCGGCUGCGCGCCCCGUCCUGCUCCGGGCCACCGGUGGGAAACUUCCCUAGAGCGCAGCCUCCCGGGGGACUCGGCGCCCCCGACGCCUCGGGCGCUCACUCCGGCCGCCUGGGCCCCGCCUCGCUGCUCGCGAGCACCGAGGUCGCGCUCUCCCCGCCCCCGCCUUCCUCCUCCCCCGGCGGCUUCCGGAUCUGGACUGGGCAGGAGAAGCGGCUCCGAACACUUCCCCCGGAGACCCCUCCCCACUGGCCGCUAUAGUCCCCUGCCCUGGCACCCCCGCCUCGCGCGCGCCCCAGUGGACAGGCUGACAAUGAAACCUCGCGCCUGUGCGGUUGUGGGGAGAGGUCGGAGCUUGGUCUCUCGGGGGGCUACUAACCCCAGGAAGCCGGAGGGGGGACUCUUUGGGGGUGGGGCUUGUUUAGGUUAGAGACGUUGACAUCGGGUGGGUCGGGCGGGGUGGGGUGCGCGGUGGCGGCCCGAGGCUCGGGUUCGGGGGCCGGGGUCGCGGGUUCCAGCCUCUCUUGGGGUUGGUGAUUGGCUGGUGAGUGCAGGCAUGUCGAGCCUCCCUCCCCCCAUCAGCCACUCCCCCCCUCCUUCCCGUACAAUGCGGGCUUCAGAGGUGAUCCUGAGGGUGGUGUGAGUGUGUGUGUGUGACGGGGUGUUUGUCUCCUGCGGUCCACAGCAGGCGCUGCUCCUUGACCCGGAGAUCCGACCCUCGCCCCUCCCCUAAGGGCUGGGGGCGGGGAGAAGGGGGUGGGAACUUCUCCUUUCCCGCCUGGGCACUGCCAAGCGAGUGCUACCCCUGAGAAUUUCUGGGGACCGCAGGCCUGGGGGCACUCAACGCAGAGUGGGGGCCGCGGGGUCAGCGGGGUCUCUGCACACAGAGCGCUCCAUCCCUCUGUGCCUUGCGGGGAGGGGCGGGGUGGAAAGGGCCAAGGCUAGUUUGAGUGUGAGUGGGGGCAGAGAGCCGGUGGAAAUCUGUAUUCAUUACGUUCCAGGGAGCGGCCCCCCUUUUCUUCCUGGGGUAGGGAGCAGGCCCAGGGAUGGGACUGCCAGCCCCGGCAGGUGAAGGAAAUCCUUCUAUUCAAAGAGGGGAUCCUUGCGGGGGUGGGGGGUAGCACAGGAAGGCUGUUCUGUGGCUCCAUCCAGGCGUGGAGAGAGUUAAUCCUCCCCGACCCUGUCAGCCCCCACCCAGGAGGCUGCAGUGGGGACCCUCUGAGCUCACAGCAUGUUCCCACCCUGUAUUCCCACCAGGUGGAGGGGUGCCUUCUCAGGACCCCCCUCUGAGCCCAGAGAAGGUGCUGCAGUGGGAGAGCCUGGGAAAGCUGGUGCAGCCGGAGCCUAUGGCCUCGUGGGGGGACUCUCCCCACUCCACAGCCCCACCGUGAAGGUCGGUUUCUGACCGAAAGGCUAGACCUCUGAGGGCCAACCUGGGAGGUCACAGGGAGGCAGGAUUGAUUUCUGCUCACUAGAACCCCUGUAGGGUCCAUGUGGGUGCAUUCCUCGGGCGGGGGGGGGGGGGCUUCCUCCUCCCCUGGUUCCCUUUCCUGCAGGUGAGAGCCGGACCUGGCCACAAUGGACACUGGGCUUUGGCUGGACAGACACAGGGAUGAAUGAACCAGUAUUGAAUGAAUGAAUAAAUGAAUGGAAAGGGAAAGUUUCUCAAUUGGAGGUGUUCAUUUUUAAGAAAUAAUUUUCAAUAUAUAUGUUUUAAAAUAUGAUUAAUGGGAAAAUCUGAAAAAUCGAGAAAAAUAAAAAAGGUUGUGGACAGUCUCAGUGGGCUGUGACAGUGUUAGUAUUUUGAUGUCGUUUUCCGCAGUCUUUUCAGCUUGGUGGCUGGGUUGUUUUUUAGAGACUUGUCGGCACUCUCUCUGUUCAGACGUAUAUCCUGCUCUCUUCGUUGGCGCUCAUGGGAGCCUUUUCCUGUUUUGUAACCAACUCUUCAUAAACACCGCGGUUAAUGUCUUCAGGCUUUUCCAAUCGGGUGGAUGCACCACCAUUUACUUAAUAUUACCCUUUUGUUCCAUGUUCUGGUUGCCCCUGAUGAACGAGGUAGUGGAUUUCUUCAUGAGGACAGCUUUUUUUUCCCUUUGAUGUUUAAGACGAUUUCCUCAAAAUGACGCUGCUCACGCCUGCAGUGGGAGAAACAGGCUCCUCAUUUUUCCCCUGAUAAGUGGGACACUGUUACACUUCCUCCCCACGAUCCAGAACCUUCUUUCAGAACUGAAAGAGCCUCGGCAGUGAAUCACCUGUCUGAACCCCCUCCUUUGACAAGAAGGAACGGGAGCCCAGAGAGGGAAGUGAAUUCCAAGGUCACAUAGCAGCCAAGAACAGGCUGCUGAUUCGCCUUUUGGUUUCCAAAUUCAGGAAGAGUGGGUCCUGUAGGCUGGCCUUGCCCAUUUCACAGACGGGGGCACUGAGACCCCAGGAGAGGAGGAGCACCCACUCGCCUCUGAUGUUGAUGUCUGGAGCACCAGACAGGCUCCUUAGCCCUUGUGUCUCACACACUGGCUAUGGCCAUGAUGUCCGUGGUGCCUGGGGCCACCCAAGGUGCCAGCCUGUGAUUGACCAGCAGUGGAUUCCCUGCUGCCCCUGCCCCAUGGCUCCCCCUUCCUCUCUGCCAUCCCAUUUUCCAGAAGAAAAAGCUGAGGAGCCAAAGCAGAUGCAGAGAGAGAGUGGGAAUGCAGAUGUCAGAGGACGCCCUUGGUCAUGCCCCUGCCCUGGCCUUCAGUCCUAGUAGUUCUGUGUCUUUUCUGGGGCUGGGGCGGGUGUUGGCACAGACCCUGCAGUGGGGAAGAGGGGAAAGACCAGCGAUGUCUCAGCUGCUCCCUCUGGCUCGGCUUGACCCCAGGAGGUCCCUGGGGAGGAAGGGAAAGGGAGGGGAGAAAGAGGAGAGGGAGCAGAGAUGCUUGGAGAGAAAGGAAAGAAUUAGAAUGGUGGGGGAGAAAAUGGGGAAGGAAGGGAUCUGGUUAAAGAAAAAGGAGAGAGGAGGUCCCUGCCCCCCCCAGGCCCAUUGGGCACCCUUGGGAGCGACUGGGGGCAGGGUUCCCAAUGGGGGAGCUAGGGCUGCUCAGAGCUGUGUGGCCUGGGUCAAGGUGGAAUGGAAUAGCUCUUUAGAGGGGCCCAGGAGGAUCCAGACCAGGUGGGUGGAAGGGAGGUGGCAGCUCCUCUGGUCACGGAUUCCAGUGGGGCAGGUGGUGAGGCACCCCAGGUCAGAGGCCAGGGCCAGGGGUGUGCGUCAGGUGAGGCGAUUAUGGCUCUGACUUCCCAUCGCCAGGACAAGGGCCUUGUGUCCCCCCUGGAAGCAGCCCUUCCGUGAAUGUGGGUAUUUGGGCCUUUCUUUGGUGUCUCGACUUGGACGCCUUCCCAUGUGCCUGCGUGUGCAUAUGUCUGUGUGUCUGAUCCUGUUUGUGUAUUCUUGGGGGUCGGUAUGCCUGCCAGCCUGGGUGUGUACGCCCGUGUAUUCUGUGUGCCUCGGGCCCUGUUUUUAUAUUCUUGGGCAUGUAUGCUUGCAUGCAUACCUGUGUGUGUGUGAAUCUGUGUGUGUCCCUGUGUGUACAUGUCUGUGGGUCUCUGAUCCCAUGUGCGUUUCCGGGGGACAGUGUGCCCUCGAGCUCGGGCACGUGUGUGUCUGUGUGUGGGCACACACUGCUCCUCCUAAUGGCCCCCAGAGGGAUGCAGGCACCAGGCUUCUAUGCCGUUUUCAAGGUUGCAGCUGGGUG
ensembl:lncRNA